rnacentral:rRNA from 1 species
AUUGAACGCUGGCGGCAAGCCUAACACAUGCAAGUCGAACGAGUGGCGGACGGGUGAGUAAUGUCUGGGAAACUGCCCGAUGGAGGGGGAUAACUACUGGAAACGGUAGCUAAUACCGCAUACCAUCGGAUGUGCCCAGAUGGGAUUAGCUAGUAGGUGGGGUAAAGGCUCACCUAGGCGACGAUCCCUAGCUGGUCUGAGAGGAUGACGAGCACAACGGGAACUGAGACACGGUCCAGACUCCGACGGGAGGCGGCAGUGGGGAAUGUUGCACAAGGGGGGCAAGCCUGAUGCAGCCAUGCCGCGUGUAGGAGGAAGGCCUUCGGGUUGUAAAGUACUUUCGGCGGGGAGGCGUUACCCGCAGAAGAAGCACCGGCUAACUCCGUGCCAGCAGCCGCGGUAAUAC